rnacentral:rRNA from 1 species
AAUAGAUACCCUGGUAGUCCACGCCGUAAACGAUGGAUGCUAGCUAUUGGGGGGAAUCGACCCCCUCCGAAGCGAAGCUAACGCGUUAAGCAUCCCGCCUGAGUAGUACGAGCGCAAGCUUAAAACUCAAAGGAAUUGACGGGGACCCGCACAAGCGGUGGAGCGUGUGGUUUAAUUCGAUGGUAAACGAAGAACCUUACCAAGGUUUGACAUCCCGGUAGCCGUUCUCCGAAAGGAGAAUUUCAUUUAGUUGGACCGGUGACAGGUGAUGCAUGGCCGUCGUCAGCUCGUGUCGUGAGAUGUUGGGUUAAGUCCCGCAACGAGCGCAACCCUUAUGAUUUAGUUGGAUUUUCUAAACAGACUGCCCUGGUAACAGGGAGGAAGGAGGGGUGAUGUCAGGUCAGUAUUUCCCUUACACCUUGGGCGACACACGCGCUACAAUGGCCGGUACAAUGGGCAGCUAAGCCGCGAGGUGGAGCAAAUCCCAUCAAAGCCGGUCCCAGUUCGGAUUGCAGGCUGAAACCCGCCUGCAUGAAGCCGGAAUCGCUAGUAACC